rnacentral:rRNA from 1 species
UUACGAGGUCAGGACACUGUGAGGAUUGACAGAUUGAAAGCUCUUUCUUGAUUCAGUGGGUGGUGGUGCAUGGCCGUUCUUAGUUGGUGGAGUGAUUUGUCUGGUUAAUUCCGUUAACGAACGAGACCUUAACCUGCUAAAUAGUCACGCGAACCGGUCCGCAAGGGCUCAAAGUUCGCGGCUCGACUUCUUAGAGGGACUAUUCGCACCCGCCAGCGAAUGGAAGUUUGAGGCAAUAACAGGUCUGUGAUGCCCUUAGAUGUUCUCGGCCGCACGCGCGUUACACUGACGGAGUCAACGAGCGUUUUUCCUUGCCCGACAGGGCUGGGUAACCUCCUGAAACUCCGUCGUGAUGGGGAUAGAUCAUUGCAAUUAUUGAUCUUGAACGAGGAAUUCCUAGUAGGCGCGAGUCAUCAACUCGCGCCGAUUACGUCCCUGCCCUUUGUACACACCGCCCGUCGCUCCUACCGAUUGAACGGUCCGGCGAGAACUCCGGAUGGUC